GUUCCUGUAGUGUAGUGGUUAUCACGUUCGCCUAACAGCCGCAGGCCAGCCGCACAUAGGUGUAGAACACUGAUUGUCAGUAAGACCGUGCCCGCUGUCUGACAUGGGUUCGAAUCCCAGUUAUGGCAGGAAUU